rnacentral:rRNA from 1 species
UACAGAGGUCCCAAGCGUUGUUCGGACUCACUGGGCGUAAAGGGUGCGUAGGUGGUGAAGUAAGUCGGAUGUGAAAUCUCGGAGCUUAACUCCGAAACUGCAUUGGAAACUACUUUGCUCGAGGGUUGGAGGGGGGACUGGAAUUCUCGGUGUAGCAGUGAAAUGCGUAGAUAUCGAGAGGAACACCAGUGGCGAAGGCGAGUCCCUGGACAACUCCUGACACUGAGGCACGAAAGCGUGGGGAGCAAACAGG